rnacentral:rRNA from 1 species
AUGGAUUAGUGGCGAACGGGUGAGGAACACGUGAGAAACCUGCCUUUCAUUCUGGGAUAACACCGGGAAACCGGUGCUAAUACCGGAUACUCCAUCUUGGCGGCAUCGCCGAGCUGGGAAAAAAUUUUGAUGAAAGAUGGUCUCGCGGCCUAUCAGCUAGUUGGUGAGGUAAAGGCUCACCAAGGCGACGACGGGUAGCCGGCCUGAGAGGGCGACCGGCCACACUGGGACUGAGACACGGCCCAGACUCC